rnacentral:rRNA from 1 species
UACGGAGGGUGCAAGCGUUAUCCGGAUUCACUGGGUUUAAAGGGUGCGUAGGUGGGCAGGUAAGUCAGUGGUGAAAUCUCCGGGCUUAACCCAGAAACUGCCAUUGAUACUAUCUGUCUUGAAUACCGUGGAGGUGAGCGGAAUAUGUCAUGUAGCGGUGAAAUGCUUAGAUAUGACAUAGAACACCAAUUGCGAAGGCAGCUCACUACACGAAUAUUGACACUGAGGCACGAAAGCGUGGGGAUCAAACAGG